AGUAGGGAGUGCGCAUAAGCCGAGGAUGACCAGGUUAUGUGCGAGUAGGGAGUGCGCAUAACCCGGUGAUGACCCAGCCAUGUGCGAGUAGGGAGUGCGCAUGAGCUGGUGAUGAUGAUGAUGAGCUGGUGAUGAUGAUAAUGGGUUGGUGAGAUGAUGAUGAUGGGUAUAUACAUAUAUAUAUAUAUAUACAUAUGUAAAUAUGUGUGAUAUAGCAAAUGGAUGGACAAUGAUUUAUGGAUGUGAUGUACAUGAAAGUUGAGACAUUGUACUUUGAGAAUUUUCAUGAAUGUUAGGUUGAUUUUAUUAGUUUAGCAGGAUGGCUUUUUGUUGAGUGAGG
rnacentral:lncRNA from 1 species